GAUUAAGUUAUUAAGGGCGCACGGUGGAUGCCUUGGCACUAGAAGCCGAUGAAGGACGUUACUAACGACGAUAUGCUUUGGGGAGCUGUAAGUAAGCUUUGAUCCAGAGAUUUCCGAAUGGGGAAACCCAGCAUGAGUUAUGUCAUGUUAUCGAUAUGUGAAUACAUAGCAUAUCAGAAGGCACACCCGGAGAACUGAAACAUCUUAGUACCCGGAGGAAGAGAAAGAAAAUUCGAUUCCCUUAGUAGCGGCGAGCGAAACGGGAAGAGCCCAAACCAACAAGCUUGCUUGUUGGGGUUGUAGGACACUCUAUACGGAGUUACAAAGGACGACAUUAGACGAAUCAUCUGGAAAGAUGAAUCAAAGAAGGUAAUAAUCCUGUAGUCGAAAAUGUUGUCUCUCUUGAGUGGAUCCUGAGUACGACGGAGCACGUGAAAUUCCGUCGGAAUCUGGGAGGACCAUCUCCUAAGGCUAAAUACUCUCUAGUGACCGAUAGUGAACCAGUACCGUGAGGGAAAGGUGAAAAGCACCCCGGAAGGGGAGUGAAAUAGAACCUGAAACCGUGUGCUUACAAGUAGUCAGAGCCCGUUAAUGGGUGAUGGCGUGCCUUUUGUAGAAUGAACCGGCGAGUUACGAUUUGAUGCAAGGUUAAGCAGUAAAUGUGGAGCCGUAGCGAAAGCGAGUCUGAAUAGGGCGUUUAGUAUUUGGUCGUAGACCCGAAACCAGGUGAUCUACCCUUGGUCAGGUUGAAGUUCAGGUAACACUGAAUGGAGGACCGAACCGACUUACGUUGAAAAGUGAGCGGAUGAACUGAGGGUAGCGGAGAAAUUCCAAUCGAACCUGGAGAUAGCUGGUUCUCUCCGAAAUAGCUUUAGGGCUAGCCUCAAGUGAUGAUUAUUGGAGGUAGAGCACUGUUUGGACGAGGGGCCCCUCUCGGGUUACCGAAUUCAGACAAACUCCGAAUGCCAAUUAAUUUAACUUGGGAGUCAGAACAUGGGUGAUAAGGUCCGUGUUCGAAAGGGAAACAGCCCAGACCACCAGCUAAGGUCCCAAAAUAUAUGUUAAGUGGAAAAGGAUGUGGCGUUGCCCAGACAACUAGGAUGUUGGCUUAGAAGCAGCCAUCAUUUAAAGAGUGCGUAAUAGCUCACUAGUCGAGUGACACUGCGCCGAAAAUGUACCGGGGCUAAACAUAUUACCGAAGCUGUGGAUUGUCCUUUGGACAAUGGUAGGAGAGCGUUCUAAGGGCGUUGAAGCAUGAUCGUAAGGACAUGUGGAGCGCUUAGAAGUGAGAAUGCCGGUGUGAGUAGCGAAAGACGGGUGAGAAUCCCGUCCACCGAUUGACUAAGGUUUCCAGAGGAAGGCUCGUCCGCUCUGGGUUAGUCGGGUCCUAAGCUGAGGCCGACAGGCGUAGGCGAUGGAUAACAGGUUGAUAUUCCUGUACCACCUAUAAUCGUUUUAAUCGAUGGGGGGACGCAGUAGGAUAGGCGAAGCGUGCGAUUGGAUUGCACGUCUAAGCAGUAAGGCUGAGUAUUAGGCAAAUCCGGUACUCGUUAAGGCUGAGCUGUGAUGGGGAGAAGACAUUGUGUCUUCGAGUCGUUGAUUUCACACUGCCGAGAAAAGCCUCUAGAUAGAAAAUAGGUGCCCGUACCGCAAACCGACACAGGUAGUCAAGAUGAGAAUUCUAAGGUGAGCGAGCGAACUCUCGUUAAGGAACUCGGCAAAAUGACCCCGUAACUUCGGGAGAAGGGGUGCUCUUUAGGGUUAACGCCCAGAAGAGCCGCAGUGAAUAGGCCCAAGCGACUGUUUAUCAAAAACACAGGUCUCUGCUAAACCGUAAGGUGAUGUAUAGGGGCUGACGCCUGCCCGGUGCUGGAAGGUUAAGAGGAGUGGUUAGCUUCUGCGAAGCUACGAAUCGAAGCCCCAGUAAACGGCGGCCGUAACUAUAACGGUCCUAAGGUAGCGAAAUUCCUUGUCGGGUAAGUUCCGACCCGCACGAAAGGCGUAACGAUUUGGGCACUGUCUCAACGAGAGACUCGGUGAAAUCAUAGUACCUGUGAAGAUGCAGGUUACCCGCGACAGGACGGAAAGACCCCGUGGAGCUUUACUGUAGCCUGAUAUUGAAAUUCGGCACAGCUUGUACAGGAUAGGUAGGAGCCUUUGAAACGUGAGCGCUAGCUUACGUGGAGGCGCUGGUGGGAUACUACCCUAGCUGUGUUGGCUUUCUAACCCGCACCACUUAUC
rnacentral:rRNA from 1 species